rnacentral:rRNA from 1 species
GUGGGGAAUAUUGGACAAUGGGCGAAACCCUGAUCUAGCCAUGCCGCGUGAGCGAUGAAGGCCUUAGGGUUGUAAAGCUCUUUCAGCUGGGAAGAUAAUGACGGUACCAGCAGAAGAAGCCCCGGCUAACUCCGUGCCAGCAGCCGCGGUAAUACGGAGGGGGCUAGCGUUGUUCGGAAUUACUGGGCGUAAAGCGCACGUAGGCGGAUCAGAAAGUCAGAGGUGAAAUCCCAGGGCUCAACCUUGGAACUGCCUUUGAAACUCCUGGUCUUGAGGUCGAGAGAGGUGAGUGGAAGUCCGAGUGUAGAGGUGAAAUUCGUAGAUAUUCGGAGGAACACCAGUGGCGAAGGCGGCUCACUGGCUCGAUACUGACGCUGAGGUGCGAAAGCGUGGGGAGCAAACAGGAUUAGAAACCCCAGUAGUCC